AGUGAACGCUGGCGGUAGGCCUAACACAUGCAAGUCGAACGGCAGCACAGUAAGAGCUUGCUCUUACGGGUGGCGAGUGGCGGACGGGUGAGGAAUACAUCGGAAUCUACUUUUUCGUGGGGGAUAACGUAGGGAAACUUACGCUAAUACCGCAUACGACCUACGGGUGAAAGCAGUGGAUCUUCGGACCUUGCGCGAUUGAAUUAGCCGAUGUCGGAUUAGCUAGUUGGCGGGGUAAAGGCCCACCAAGGCGACGAUCCGUAGCUGGUCUGAGAGGAUGAUCAGCCACACUGGAACUGAGACACGGUCCAGACUCCUACGGGAGGCAGCAGUGGGGAAUAUUGGACAAUGGGCGCAAGCCUGAUCCAGCCAUACCGCGUGAGUGAAGAAGGCCUUCGGGUUGUAAAGCCCUUUUGUUGGGAAAGAAAAGCAGCAGGUUAAUCCCCCGCUGUUCUGACGGUACCCAAAGAAUAAGCACCGGCUAACUUCGUG
rnacentral:rRNA from 1 species